rnacentral:lncRNA from 1 species
CUUGGGGCCACUGGGGCCCUUGCGUAGCCUCCUCCUCCGAGGCCCAGGCUCCCACCUUCUUAGCACACGCAUCACCCUGCAGACGCUUCGCUCCUUCAGGAUGCUCAACAGCCACGCUCCAGGCCUACGUCUGAGCAAGAUGCUUCACGGGUUUGCAGUGUGCCCUGUCUCCCUGCUGGACUGUGAAGGCCAUGAGGACAGGGACCUUUUGUUCUCUCAUUUGCGUGCUCAGUAAGCACCUACUGUAUACCAGGCCCAGAGCUGGGCGCCAGAGUGCAACUGGGGCUGAAAUGCCCAGAGACUUCUGACUGUUCUGCCGCCCUGGCUGCCCCCGGGUGUACCCCGCAGGCCUCCUCAUGGUCCUUCAACUAAAGGACUCGUGUCUGGCGCACCAGGGAUGCUCCAGGAGCUCAGACCCCAUCAGCUCGAGUCUCGGACUUCCUGGGCCUCCCUGGCUUCUGCAGGUCCGUCUCAUAGUGGAUCGAGACGGCCGCCGUUAUGAAGCAAUGCAGCCCAAAGCGGAGAGGGGCAGCAGGUGCCUGGCCUGGCUUUGUCUCUGCCAGGACAGAAACAAUCGACCUGGGACCUGUGAAAAGAUCCGACACGCAAGAGGGAGAAAAUGGUUAUCUCUGAAAGGCUUUUCCUUAAGGAAGAGAAUAAAACUCGACGAAUACUCUGCUUGGUAUUCUAAAAACACGCCCACACCCCAGGAAGCAUUGAUGGAGUGGUUCUUUGCUGGGUGCCUCCCAAGCGGGCAAAGGAUGCGAACCUACAGUUCAUAGAAAGGGAAGCACGAACGGCUCUCAAACAGAAAAAGAUGCUUGUCUCAUUCAAAAGAGAAAUGCAAACCCAAACUAGAGCAAAACAUGAUUUUUCACCUGUCCGACUCGCAGAAACGCAAGAAUCUGAUAUUACAGGGUUGUGAGGUCCUUGUGAAAUCCACUGUGGGGAUUUUGCUUUGAAGAAGUCACUCCUCCUUCCCUUUCUGCUAUGUUGUUUCAGUGGGAUUUCGCCUCCAUUUCUAGGGGAGCCCUGACUGCCUGAAGCCUAUUAAAUUUCUCAUCAGCCACAGGAGAUCAAAAAUUGGGCAAGCCACUUAGGAACUCUGAGCUUUGUUUCCUUGUCUAUAAAAUGCAGACAAUAGCAGAGACCCAUGGAAAGCAGCCAGCACAGUGUCUAGCACCUAACCAAUCAGUGACACUUGUACCGACUUCAGUAACUGGAUACAUAUGAAGUUAAAUAUAUGUGCUUGACAAUCUAAAGGCUUAUGUAGAAUUACAAACUAGGCCUCCACUUUCUAAAGCAUUAUAGAUGAUAGCAACAAGAAAAAACCUAGACAGUAUAACAAAGAACCAAAACCAAAGCAAUAAGGAAGCACAAAAAUAAAGAAGUAAAAUGAAACUACA